UACGUAGGGGGCUAGCGUUGUCCGGAAUCAUUGGGCGUAAAGCGCGCGUAGGCGGCCCGGGAAGUCCGCUGUAAAAGUCAAAGGCUCAACCUCGAGACGUCGGCGGAAACCAUCUGGCUAGAGUCCGGAAGAGGAGAGUGGAAUUCCUGGUGUAGCGGUGAAAUGCGCAGAUAUCAGGAAGAACACCCGUGGCGAAGGCGGCUCUCUGGGACGGUACUGACGCUGAGACGCGAAAGCGUGGGGAGCGAACAGG
rnacentral:rRNA from 1 species